GACGAACGCUGGCGGCGUGCUUAACACAUGCCAGUCGAACGGAACGGCCCUGCCUUUGUGGGGUGCUCUAGUUGCGAACGGGUGAGUAACACGUGAGUAACCUGCCCUUGACUUUGGGAUAACUUCAGGAAACUGGGUCUAAUACCGGAUAGGAGCUCCUGCUGCAUGGUGGGGGUUGGAUAGUUUCGGCGGUUGGUGAUGGACUCGCGGCUUAUCAGCUUGUUGGUGGGGUAGUGGAUUACCAAGGCUUUGACGGGUAGCCGGCCUGAGAGGGUGACCGGCCACAUUGCGACUGAAAUGCGACACAGCCUACUACGGGAGGCAGCAGAGGGGAAUAGAGCACAAGGGGCGGAAGCAUGAUGCAGCAAAGCAGCGUCGGGGAUGACGGCAAGCCGGUAGUAAACCGCAUCCGCCUGUGCCGAAGCGAGAGUGACGGUAAUGGGUAAAGAAGCACCGGCUAACUACGUG
rnacentral:rRNA from 1 species